UUGUUAGAACGUUUAAUAGUAAAAUUGGACAGUGAAAUGCUCCAAAACUAACACAUCAUAUGUAAUAUUACCACAAAGGACAAUUUAAUCCAACCUCACUGGAUCUUCAAAGACAGAGGCAAAGGACCACAUCUCAUGAAAUGGCUACCCCCAGAUGACAAUUUACUCAAACCCUACUGGAUCUUCAAGUAAGACCGAGGCAAAGGCCCACAUCUCAUGAAACGGCUACCCCCAGAAUGGAUGCACAACAUGACACCAGUGGAGGUCGAGGUUAACAUCAACAACACUCGUGGACCCGUGGACACAUGUUGAGGCGGUCACAUAACGAACAGCCAUCUGUCAGACAGAAAAAUUCAGGAACCCUCUUCCAGGCCAUGUGCCAGAACCGAAUGAGCUGCAUUGCGGAGAGAGCACAGAAGUGAGGGUGGCACCAGACCCUCACGGAGCGCUUACCCUAUGUCAACUGCAAUCUUGCUCUUCAGUUUUUGCAGCCCUAUAUUCACCGAAAUCAGCAGGCAAUGAAGACUGGUUUAGGUUCUAAAAAAACAGUCAAGCCUAAUGCCCUGCGUAAACACAAAAUGUGACAGCAAGUGUCAUGUUCACUUUUGGAGUUUAAGUAGUCUUGUUUGAAGGGUGUGUGUAUAUAUUAAUGUGCUGAUUUUUCUUUCAGGAUUCCAAAGGAAGGUCUUUUUUCAUGCUGUUUGGUUUAAAAGAUGAACUUGAGCGAAUAUCUGCCAUUCUGGACCCUGGCAAGUCUACAUCAUCUUUUAAAAGACUGGAUUAAGAGAGUGACCUAAAAUCCUUUGAAGAAUACAUCAAAGAUGAUGAAAAGAAGUGGAUCUGUGUUCAGCAACUGUCCAGAGUUGGUGGAUCUUCUGUCAGGGACUGCGUUAACCAAAUCAUGAACAGAGUCAUGUCAAAUGCCUUAAUGGCCAAAUUCAAUAUGAGGGGUGGUGGCCAACAUGACAAAAAGCCUUUCAAAGCUACAGCUUUGUACUAUGUAAUUCAAGAUGCUCUAAAGAGGUGGAGUCCAACUGCCACAGAUUCCGAAAUUGACACAGCAAUGGCGGAACACCUAAAACAUGCUCCAGGAUAAGCUGGGGGUGGUGGCUAUAAGAAAUGAGCUGUGCUACAGAAAUGUGCUAUAGUAAACAUUUUGAAAUAAUAGUAAAUAAAUAAAGAUUAUAAAUAUA